GGCAGGUCACUGAUUUCUGGAAGUAGUUGGUAUUCCAUUUGCGCAGUCCAAAUGAUGGAACUUCAUUGAAGCUCCUUUUAAUAUGGAAUCAUUUGCAUUACACUCCUAAAGUUAGUUGUUGAUAUGGAAGCAUUUCAUGGCCUAAGCUCUCUGCAGGUUGGUAAGAUAUGCUAUUUUAUUGAAAGAAUUGAGGUAUGAGCUAGGGAUAAUAGUUGCUAAUAUUGACUUAUGAAUUAACUUGGUGUUGAAAACAUGGUGGCCAUGCUUGCUGUUGAGUGGUUUAUUGUUUAAGCAACAAGGAAG
rnacentral:misc_RNA from 1 species